CUGGCGGCGUGCCUAAUACAUGCAAGUCGAACGGUCUUUCUAUGGAAGCUUGCUUCCACUGAGAAGAUAGUGGCGAGCGGGUGAGUAACACGUGGGUAACCUGCCCAUAAGAGGGGGGAUAACAUCCGGAAACGGGUGCUAAUACCGCAUAGUUUUCUUGAUCGCAUGAUUGAGAAAGGAAAGACGGCCUUUGUGCUGUCGCUUAUGGAUGGACCCGCGGCGUAUUAGUUAGUUGGUGAGGUAAUGGCUCACCAAGACGAUGAUACGUAGCCGACCUGAGAGGGUGAUCGGCCACAUUGGGACUGAGACACGGCCCAAACUCCUACGGGAGGCAGCAGUAGGGAAUCUUCCGCAAUGGACGAAAGUCUGACGGAGCAACGCCGCGUGAGUGAAGAAAGGUUUUCGGACCGUAAAACUCUGUUGUCAGAGAAGAACAAGUUGGAGAGUAACUGCUCCAGCCUUGACGGUAUCUGACCAGAAAGCCACGGCUAACUACGUGCCAGCAGCCGC
rnacentral:rRNA from 1 species